AGCCCAAGAUUGAAAGCUGGCGCCUUCGGCGUCCGCAUUGUAAUCUCAAGAAGUGUUUUCCGCUUCGGACCAUGCCUAAAGUCCCUUGGAAAAGGGCAUCAUAGAGGGUGAUAAUCCCGUACAUGGCAUGGAGCGCCCGAAGCUUUGUGAUACGCUUUCUAAGAGUCGAGUUGUUUGGGAAUACAGCUCAAAAUGGGUGGUAAAUGCCAUCUAAGGCUAAAUAUUGGGGAGAGACCGAUAGCGAACAAGUACAGUGAUGGAAAGAUGAAAAGAACUUUGAAAAGAGAGUUAAACAGUACGUGAAAUUGCUAAAAGGGAAGGGUAGGAGGUCAGAGAUGCGUCGCAGGAUUCAGCCUUGCUUUUGCUUGGUGUUUUUCCUGCGUUGCGGGCCAACGUCGGUUUUGGGCACUGGAGAAGGGUAGGAGGAACGUGGCACCUCUCGGGGUGUGUUAUAGCCUCCUACUGGAUACAGCGACCGAGACCGAGGAACGCAGCGUACUCGUAAGAGCGGGCCUUUUGGCACCUUUACGCUUAGGGCGUUGGCAUAAUGGCCCUCUACCACCCGUCUUGA
rnacentral:rRNA from 1 species